rnacentral:rRNA from 1 species
UUAAAUUGAAGAGUUUGAUCAUGGCUCAGAUUGAACGCUGGCGGCAGGCCUAACACAUGCAAGUCGAACGGUAACAGGAAGCAGCUUGCUGCUUCGCUGACGAGUGGCGGACGGGUGAGUAAUGUCUGGGAAACUGCCUGAUGGAGGGGGAUAACUACUGGAAACGGUGGCUAAUACCGCAUAACGUCGCAAGACCAAAGAGGGGGACCUUCGGGCCUCUUGCCAUCAGAUGUGCCCAGAUGGGAUUAGCUAGUUGGUGAGGUAACGGCUCACCAAGGCGACGAUCCCUAGCUGGUCUGAGAGGAUGACCAGCCACACUGGAACUGAGACACGGUCCAGACUCCUACGGGAGGCAGCAGUGGGGAAUAUUGCACAAUGGGCGCAAGCCUGAUGCAGCCAUGCCGCGUGUAUGAAGAAGGCCUUCGGGUUGUAAAGUACUUUCAGCGGGGAGGAAGGUGUUGCGGUUAAUAACCGCAGCAAUUGACGUUACCCGCAGAAGAAGCACCGGCUAACUCCGUGCCAGCAGCCGCGGUAAUACGGAGGGUGCAAGCGUUAAUCGGAAUUACUGGGCGUAAAGCGCACGCAGGCGGUCUGUCAAGUCGGAUGUGAAAUCCCCGGGCUCAACCUGGGAACUGCAUUCGAAACUGGCAGGCUUGAGUCUUGUAGAGGGGGGUAGAAUUCCAGGUGUAGCGGUGAAAUGCGUAGAGAUCUGGAGGAAUACCGGUGGCGAAGGCGGCCCCCUGGACAAAGACUGACGCUCAGGUGCGAAAGCGUGGGGAGCAAACAGGAUUAGAUACCCUGGUAGUCCACGCCGUAAACGAUGUCUACUUGGAGGUUGUGCCCUUGAGGCGUGGCUUCCGGAGCUAACGCGUUAAGUAGACCGCCUGGGGAGUACGGCCGCAAGGUUAAAACUCAAAUGAAUUGACGGGGGCCCGCACAAGCGGUGGAGCAUGUGGUUUAAUUCGAUGCAACGCGAAGAACCUUACCUGGUCUUGACAUCCACAGAAGAAUCCAGAGAUGGAUUUGUGCCUUCGGGAACUGUGAGACAGGUGCUGCAUGGCUGUCGUCAGCUCGUGUUGUGAAAUGUUGGGUUAAGUCCCGCAACGAGCGCAACCCUUAUCCUUUGUUGCCAGCGAUUAGGUCGGGAACUCAAAGGAGACUGCCAGUGAUAAACUGGAGGAAGGUGGGGAUGACGUCAAGUCAUCAUGGCCCUUACGACCAGGGCUACACACGUGCUACAAUGGCGCAUACAAAGAGAAGCGACCUCGCGAGAGCAAGCGGACCUCAUAAAGUGCGUCGUAGUCCGGAUUGGAGUCUGCAACUCGACUCCAUGAAGUCGGAAUCGCUAGUAAUCGUGGAUCAGAAUGCCACGGUGAAUACGUUCCCGGGCCUUGUACACACCGCCCGUCACACCAUGGGAGUGGGUUGCAAAAGAAGUAGGUAGCUUAACCUUCGGGAGGGCGCUUACCACUUUGUGAUUCAUGACUGGGGUGAAGUCGUAACAAGGUAACCGUAGGGGAACCUGCGGUUGGAUCACCUCCUUACCUUAAAGAA